GACGAACGCUGGCGGCGUGCUUAACACAUGCAAGUCGAACGGAAAGGCCCUGCUUUUGUGGGGUGCUCGAGUGGCGAACGGGUGAGUAACACGUGUGUAACCUGCCCUUGACUUUGGGAUAACUUCAGGAAACUGGGGCUAAUACCGGAUAGGAGCUCCUGCUGCAUGGUGGGGGUUGGAAAGUUUCGGCGGUUGGGGAUGGACUCGCGGCUUAUCAGCUUGUUGGUGGGGUAGUGGCUUACCAAGGCUUUGACGGGUAGCCGGCCUGAGAGGUGACCGGCCACAUUGGGACUGAGAUACGGCCCAGACUCCUACGGGAGGCAGCAGUGGGGAAUAUUGCACAAUGGGCGGAAGCCUGAUGCAGCAACGCCGCGUGCGGGAUGACGGCCUUCGGGUUGUAAACCGCUUUCGCCUGUGACGAAGCGUGAGUGACGGUAAUGGGUAAAGAAGCACCGGCUAACUACGUG
rnacentral:rRNA from 1 species